UUUCUUGGCACAUUCAUCACUAUGAUAUUUGAUUUGUGCCAAGGUUGGAUUUGGUGGCAAAGGUGUUGGAUCUCUUCAAAUAUCUACUACAUCCCACAAGUCAUGAGCUCUAUAAAAUACUGUCAUUUUUACAGCCUAAAAAUCAUAGUUCUCACCUGCAAAAAUAGGUGGAGCAGGAAAUGAACCAUUGCUGGAGGACAUUUUUUGGAUAACCUCUCAAAUUUUUGGUGAAACAACUCUCAAAUCUCUUAAAAUUCACAAAGAUAGACACAGGCUUCUUAAGAUGAAAGCUCUAAUACCAUUUGUUGGAUUUGAAGGGAGAAAAAAUUAAGAAUGGAUUUAUGGUAGAACAAGUAGGAGAAAGAAAAACAUAAAUUCAUUAUUAAAACAGAGGAUUUACAUAUACA
rnacentral:misc_RNA from 1 species